rnacentral:lncRNA from 1 species
CAGUUGCGUUACAAGUUAUGAACCUGCGGUAUUUGUUUGUCGCUGUCUUAGGUCAGAGGCCAAGCCAGCUAAUUAGCUGAGAGACUUAAAUAGAUAUCCCCGUUUUUUUCAGCUAAUCAGACAGUCCAGGCACAAAGUUCAGAAUUUCCAGCUCCAACUUAAUUAACUCAGUGAAUUUAUUGGAAAAAUAAAAGUUUUAAUUACUCCAGUUAACGGGUUUCACGUUAAAUAGGUAUAACUUUCAAGGUACUUCUCUGAAGAACUGCUCACAGGAUGAUAUGUGGAAGUCAUUUCCUUAGGAAAAACAAAAGUUGAACAAUAAAUAAGAGGAGUUACUUGCGUUAACAGUCACGUUAUUCAUUAAAAGAGAAAAGUAGCAGAAAUCUAUGACAUAGUUUGCCCAGCAUGGCAUUAUAACUGCUGUAACCAAAUGGCUGUAACACUGAUGGGCAUUUCACAGUACCUGCAUUUAGUAAACUUCUGCCAUUGUUAAGUCAGAGUUAGCUUUAUCAAUGGGUUCUUUUUUCUUUCUUUCUUUUUUUUUUUCCUUUUCCUUUUUUUUUCUUUUUUUUUUCUAUUUUUAUUUUUAUCAUGUUUUUAAUCACUGGUUUUGCUUUCCAGAGCACUCUUUCCCAGUUCAGGAAUGCACUGUGCAUUUUUGGGGAGGGGGGGGGGGGUGAAAUGUCACAGUCAUCUUUCACCUGUGUGCUUUUGGCUCAAUGUUUGUGAUGGAGAGCUAGUCCUUUGAGCAAAGAACUGAAGGGCUGUGGGGGCGAGUCCUGCAAUUGCAAACCUUCAACCAUAGGUCAUAUGGCUCGGGUUAAAAAAAUAUUCCACUUUUCCCAGAGAGCAGAAACAACACGUCCUCAGCUUGCAACAACCAUCUUCUCAGAGGAGCAGUUGCAGAACACUGGCUUUGAAGGGCAACUUCUGCUUAACUGCUGUUCUCCCCCCACCCACCCCACUGUGAUUAUGUACACGCGUCAUUGGGCUUCAUGGAUGUGGAGAGCGGAGCAAAGGAAGGUUUGGGAGGUACAUCUGGCUUUAGCGAGGGCGUGCGUUUCAACCCUGACCUGGUCAGAGAAUUGUACGUGGUGAGACUCGGCUGUCGAGAUACAGUCAUGGCCUGUGCCUGUGCAGCAUGGACUUGUAUGGAGUCCACCCGCUGUGGAGCUGGCGGUGGGUUGUCACCCCUGCCGAAGCUCUGAUUUCGAGAGAGGUGUGAUGAGUUAGAGGAGUUGGUGUUGUUUCUUUUGAGGGUCGACGCCUGGUGACUUCUUGUGAGUGAGUUUGUAGGGUAGUUUCUCUUGUAGUCCACGCUGUAAGCAGAAGAAUGCAUGUCCAGCCGCUUGCUCAGGCCACUCUGAGACAGGGAGGUGCUCGGCGGCCCGAGUGAGGCUUCCCGCUGAGGUACCUUUGGCGGCAUGCUGUCAAGAUUUUCCACCAGGUUAACCCCAUGGCUGGGGCUUUUGCUACUGAGAUGGUCCUUGAUGGUUUUGUACUCAAGGGUGGCAUUCUGGUCCUCCACGGACAUCUGAGCCCCGUCGCUCAUUUUUGGCUGGUCAACAUACUCGUGUUGGUAGCCUUGCUGGGCAAUGGGCAGAACCAUGACACUGGGAAUGUGGCUAGGAGAAGCCCUGAGUGGCAGGUCAGUUGGGAUCACGGGUGAGGCCAUUGGUGGGAUAUCUUUUGUGCAGGCAUUGAUGAGGUUCUGGUUUCUUUCCCAUUCUCUACUGCCACGGCUGGGCUUCCUUUUCUGCUGCAGGGUUGGGGUGGAUUCCGGGGUUGGCAGGGCAGCCAGGUCCAGAUGGUGCUGGUCAGCCUUGAUUAGCAUCUUGGUAGUGCUGCCUGGUGUAGCCAACUUGCCAUUGUGCAUCAAAGGUGUGAGGAUAGCUUCAGGCUUUGGUUCUUUGGACUGAGCAUCUCCAAAGAGGCCGCUGAGCUUGGUUACACUGCUCAUGGAGCCGCGGCGGGAGUGGGUCAGUUCCUUCUCCUUUCUCUGCACAACAGCCACAUCUCUGCGGCGAUGGUCACAGAUACAGUACACUAUGAUGCCCGAAAAGACGGCCCCCAUUACAAAAGCUAGAAUUACUGCAAUUGCCAACAGGGUGACCGGCACCAGCUGAUCAUGACCCUUCAGGCAGUUGCCAUGGAAGUUAUUAUGCUGUCACAGAGGAUUGCGGUUCCAUGAGAAUAAAGAGCUGGAGCAGAUGAUCCCUCAUGAAGCUUAGAUUCUGCAGUCAUACAAACGUCUUCACAGUCAAGGAUACUACAGUUAGCUGCGGUAUGGAUACAAAGACACCUCUGUUCCAGAAAUGAUUUAUGGCCUUGAGAGGUAUACACCGGACAAUGAGGCAACCGCAUACCACGUGCAUCAAGAACACUCUGUGAUCAUCCCUGCAGGGAGCUGUCAUUGUCUAGUUUUCCAGCGUUGUCACUGACAGAUGAAACAGGAUGAAAAAAAAAAACAACAGAUGACAUUAAACUGGACACCCAGAAUUGAAGCAAUAGCAAGUUCAUGGACGACUAGAGUUUAGCAUGCUGAAAGUGCUGCAUUCUGAGAUAUUAUUCUUCUUGAAGAGGUAACUUCAAAGUUUGAAAUAAACGAACCACACCAUAAGGCCAACGAUUUGAUAUCAGCCACAUUACUGGAAGUGCUGUGCUGGAAAAGGCAAGUAACUUCUUUCCUUUAUCUAUCUUCCAGCUGCGAGGCCUCGUUCUGAAGACUCAGUGCAGGUCUACCCACUAUCCAUUUUUCCUAUCUCUUUUUUUUUUUUUUCUGGACUGUCAUUGUUAACUGAUGGAAAAAGUAUUAACUGAAAUACUCAUCAUUAAAGCUGC